rnacentral:misc_RNA from 1 species
AAGUCGUAACAAGGUUUCCGUAGGUGAACCUGCGGAAGGAUCAUUAUCACGUUAUCCACGUUAUCUACCAACCGCGAAUCUGUUUUUAUCACCUCUGGGGUGAGAGAUGUUCGUGCAGGAAGACAACACAUAGAGCGUUUUCGGUGGUUUGAGUAGCUCUGUUGUAUUCUCGCCUCGGUUCGUCCGUACUCUCUUCCCUGGUUGUAACUUUCAAACUACCAUUCUAUUUACCAUUUGAACAAUAUUUUGAACUUUAUGUCUGAUCUAUUUCUUACUCAUCGGCCCCUUCUUUUGGAACGG